AUUGAACGCUGGCGGCAUGCUUUACACAUGCAAGUCGAACGGUAACAGGCCGCAAGGUGCUGACGAGUGGCGAACGGGUGAGUAAUGCAUCGGAACGUGCCCAGUCGUGGGGGAUAACGCAGCGAAAGCUGCGCUAAUACCGCAUACGAUCUCUGGAUGAAAGCGGGGGACCGAAAGGCCUCGCGCGAUUGGAGCGGCCGAUGUCAGAUUAGGUAGUUGGUGGGGUAAAGGCUCACCAAGCCAACGAUCUGUAGCUGGUCUGAGGGGACGACCAGCCACACUGGGACUGAGACACGGCCCAGACUCCUACGGGAGGCAGCAGUGGGGAAUUUUGGACAAUGGGCGCAAGCCUGAUCCAGCAAUGCCGCGUGCAGGAAGAAGGCCUUCGGGUUGUAAACUGCUUUUGUACGGAACGAAACGGUCCUGGUUAAUACCUGGGGCUAAUGACGGUACCGUAAGAAUAAGCACCGGCUAACUACGUGCCAGCAGCCGCCGUAAUAC
rnacentral:rRNA from 1 species